GUAGAAUAUCUAACAAAAUACUAAAUUAAUAAAUCAUAUUUAUGCUUUUAAAAGUAUUUAAAGAACAAAAUAAAUAAUUUUUUUAGUUAAAAAGUUCUACCAAAAAUUAACUUUCAGUUUUAAAAUAUUAAAAUAUAUUAUAGUAUGUCAAAAAUAUUCUUUUAUAUUAAAUUUUAGAAUAUUUGCAUUUGUGAAUUCUUGGACAGCUAACUAUUAACCCAUUGACUAUAGAGUUAUAUUAUAUAACUUAUAUAUAAAACAUAUCUGGCUGGACAUGUGGCAUGUGGGUGAACGGUGACUACGUAACAAUAAGACCAACCGCAACGGUCGGUUUAUUGAGUCCUUAGCUCGCGGUUUUAGGAAAAAUAGAAUUAAAAAAAUUUAAUCAAGUACGGUUUAUUAAGGACCGUAACUUAAUUAGAAGGCGGGAAGGAUUGAAUCCUUACCGACGUGUCAUCCCUUCCCCGGUUCGAUGUCGGGAUGAAUUUGGUUCAGGGAAAAAAAAAUUAAACGCGAAGGAGAUUAAAAAAAAAAAAGCUCCGGGCGAUCGAAGAGGCGACAGACGACUUGGUGAUAUCGAAGGUAAAUCGAAGCCUCCUAUCGUUCGUUUAUGGAUUUGUUUUGGUCGGAUGUUGUUCUCCUCGAGAUUUAGGGUUUCUUUUCAGUUUUAAAUCUAACUGGCUCAUAUCCAAAAUGGUCAACAUUUAUCCAAUCUAUCUCCCUCCCGCAAGGUCCUAAAGCAGAGUUAUUUGCUAAAUGUCAAGAAGCGACUCGAAAAGAUGUUGAGCGGGCUUUUGGAGUUUUGCAAGCUCGAUUUGCGAUUGUGAAAAACCCGGCUCUUACAUUAGACAAGACGAAAGUUGGGAAGAUUAUGAGAGCAUGUAUCAUACUACACAAUAUGAUAGUCGAAUAUGAACGAGACGGAUACACUCAGUACAAUAUAUCUGAGUUUGAAGAAGGAGAUGGAAGCAGAAGUUCUCAGGUAGAUAUGUCCUACAGUACCGAGACGCCUACAAAUCUCGAUAAUAUGGUUGGCAUUCGGACUCAUGUUCGCGAUAGGCGUAUACAUGAACAACUAAAAAACGAUUUAAUCGAAAAUGUUUGGAACAAAUUUGGUGAUCAAAAUUAAUAAUUGUUGUAUGUUUCUUUUAAUCAUGAAAUCAGUAAUUAUUGUAUUUUUAUAUUUUUUUAUGCAAUAAAUUUUUUUUUUUUUUUCAAUUUUUAAAAAAAAUAUUAUUAUUUUAUUCCUAAGGACUUCUGAUUGGAUAACACUAUUGGACGUAAGAUUAAGACAAUAAUCCUUAACUAUUCAAAAGUUAAAAAAUAAUACUUUUUAACUUCUAAGGACUCCUAAUACAAGUACACCAAUGCAUAUGCUCUAAGUAGUAUAUAAGUACGUAUUUGUGAGACCAAAGAGAACAAUAUUCUCCUCUUUUGAAGAUCUUCGAGUACUAAUCCUAUCACUCUUCUUCUUACCUACUUUGCUGGCCGUGCACACUUUUACCAACUGCAGUUUGCUCCUCAUAACUUUGUUCUAUAUCUUGUUACGUUAUCUACAAAAUAAUAUUACGGCUUGAAAACUUUAAACAACAUUGACUCUAUAAUGUUUAUCUAUCUUUGACUCUAUAAUCUCCAAUAGUGAUGGAUUUUAUGUGUACCUUUUGUUUAUAGUGAAUCUUGUUCUCUUCACUGACAUUAAUCACUGACUGUAGGCCCAGUGUUUGGCGGAAUCAGAGUUACUGGUUCGAAGGAAUUCGUGGAGCAGGGGAGAAAAAGCUUUAACUUAACCUGCUCUACAGGUACUUGAUUAAUUCCUUUUCAUAAUUUGCUUUAUUUAUAUCCAAGUUAUCACUCUGGUUUACUUUCAAGUGUUUUUCUUGAUGAAAUAUUUUGUGUGAACAAGUACAGUACUCACCAAAGGAUUCAUUCUUGCGGUAGUUAAACGAGGCUUCGCUAUGGGACCAAUCCUAAAUAUACAACCGUACAAUCUCUGUGAUUUGAUCACAUGUCCUGUUUCACCUGGCUCUUUUGUGAUUACUUUUCGCAAACUAUAUCCUGUUCCCAUAACAGUAAGUCUUUUUACAUUUUAUAUUGGUAAUUUUAAAAAUUGCACGAUUUAGAAAGUAAAAAGUUCUUUGGUUUUUGAUGAAUUUUUCAUCUCAAUCAUUAACAGAUUAUGUUUCAUACUUGUGACAUAUAUUUUCUUAUUGAUGGUUCCAUAAACAGUUUCCUAAUAACCGUACGUUGAGCUUAUGAAACAGAGUUGAUGGAGUCAUUAGUCAUAACUGUUGUUAGACUUUUGGAGAUUACAUCUUAAUUCCCAGCUUAUAAUUUUCAUACCAAAAUAACUCUACUAGGGUAAUAAAACAGUGAGAUUACACCGUAAUGAGUUCGCACAGUAACAAUGCGCUUUUUAUUUGAUUUUUUUUUUCUUUUAAUUUGUCUGAUGUUGAACUUGCCAAAAGCUUCUUAUUUAAUUAAAAGCAUGUUCUACCUCUGGAUUUGUCAUGUUAACUUAAAGAAAAUAUAUUUUGAUUGCAAACUAUGUUUAUUUGUUGCCUUCAUUGACACGAGUUUCUGUUUAGUUAUUAUCGAUCUUCCUUACACUUUACCAUUUUGUUGGUUCUUUGACGAUUCGUUUGUUUUCUCUUUUUUUUACCUUUGUAGUGGCAUAUCGAUACUUCAAUAGUCUUAGACGCAGGCCCUGGUAAGAUCGUUAAUGGAGUGACAGUGCCCGCCGAUGGAAGUAUGUGUGCAAACAUAUCUGAUUGGUAUUUUCGAAAUAGAGGAGGACCCUGAUCACGAGGAAAUAAUGUGUUCCGUCUUCCCUCGCGUAACUUCAAGUGCCUAUGUGAUUUUUUCUUCGUCAAGUUCUUUUAUGAGAAAAUGUGUUCUCAGCAUUUUCUAUGUCGUUUUCUCUCUUUGGUGUGAUGUACUGUUUGUUAUCCCAGAAAUAAAAAGUGGUCUACACUUUACACAUACCAGUGUUAAUCAGUGCUUUAUAUAUACCAAUGCUGAAACAAGUAGAAGUAGAGAAUGCGUAUGGCUAAGAUCAACAAGCCAACUGACGAAAAUACGAAGCCAACUAUCAUAUACGUAGAUAAUGCGGCAUGCACUAUUCAAAAGAAAUAAUACAAGUGAAUGUCAAUUAUUAUUAGCAAAGAACAAACGAUAAGGGUUUUUUUUUAAUCGAGAAUACACCGUGACUUGUCCUAAGGAUUUUGUUACGACUUCGUGGCCUUCUAAUUAAUGCACAUAGAGAGACAUCUUGAGGAGCUUAGUGAUGCUCAUUCUUCUUCAUGUCGGUUAGCCAAAUACGUCUGUUUUACAUACAUCCCGCAGAACUCCUAAGAUUCCUUCUUCAAAAAGGUUGCUUCGCUCUUCACUGUGUGUGCUCUCUUCUCUCACUGCGAAUGAUGCCAAAAAGAGUUCAGCUCGUAAGCGGAGUCUCAUUGGCCGUGAAUCAGAAGCUCUGUUCCUGAGUACCUGCACUGCGUAGCCUAACUGGUUUUACAACUCAAACUGUGUGAGAAAGAGACCAGUAAGAAACAACAAAAGACUGUUUAUGUGUGUUCUGUUCAUCUACAGUAACCUUUCCAUUGGUUUAGAGAAAAGCCAAGUAAUACUUAUACUUCAAAACUAGAAAAUCUUUGUAGUUACUAGUUACCAUUAGUUCCCAAAAGAUGUGACUAGUAAAUAAGCAAAGAUGAGAAAAAGAGACCAGGAAUCAGAUGUUAUAAAGUAAGACAGAAAUUUCACCAAAGGAGUCAUUAUUGCGGUAGUUAAACGAGGCUACAAAUUAGGACCAAUCUUAAAUGUACAAUGAUACAAUCUCUGUGAUUUGAUCACAUGUCCUGUUGCACCUGGCUCUUUUGUGAUUACUUUUCGCAAACUAUAUCCUGUUGGCAUAAAAUGGCAUAUCGAUACAAAAAUAGUUCUAAACGCAGGCCCUGAUAAGAUCGUUAAUGGAGUGCGGGUGCCGGCCGAUGGAAGUCUGUGUGUAGACAGCGAUGAUUAUUAUUUUCCUUUAUCACAAGGAUAUAAUGUGUCCAAUCUUCCCUUGCAUAAUUUCAAAUGCGUAUGUGAUUUUUUCCAAGUCAAGUUCUUUUAUGAGAAAAUGUAUUCUCAGCAUUUUCUAUGUAGUUUUCUCUUUUUGGAGUGAUGUACUGUUUGUUAUCCAAGAAAUAAAAGGUGGUUUACACUUUACACA